rnacentral:rRNA from 1 species
UAUUUUGACUGUACAAAGGUAGCAUAAUCAUUUGUCUUUUAAUUGAAGGCUAGUAUGAAUGGUUGGACGAAAAAUAUACUUUCUUUAUUUUAUAUAAAUAAAUUAAUUUUUUAGUUAAAAAGCUAAGAUUUUUUUAUAGGACGAGAAGACCCUAUAGAACUUUAUUUUCUACAUAUAUAUAUUUUAUAGAUUUUUAAAAUAUUAUAUAUUAAUAGUUAAUUUAAUUGGGGUGAUUGAAAAAAUUAUAUAACUUUUUCUAUUUCUAUCAUUUAUUUAUGAUGUUUUUGAUCCUUUAAUAUGGAAAAUAAGAUUAAGUUACCUUAGGG